rnacentral:rRNA from 1 species
UACGGGGGGGGCAAGCGUUGUUCGGAAUUACUGGGCGUAAAGGGCUCGUAGGUGGCCAACUAAGUCAGACGUGAAAUCCCUCGGCUUAACCGGGGAACUGCGUCUGAUACUGGAUGGCUUGAGGUUGGGAGAGGGACGCGGAAUUCCAGGUGUAGCGGUGAAAUGCGUAGAUAUCUGGAGGAAUACCGGUGGCGAAGGCGGCAUCCUGGACCAUAACUGACGCUGAGGCGCGAAAGCUAGGGGAGCAAACGGG